GUGCUCACUCCGGCAGCACAUAUACUAAAAUUGGAACGAUACAGAGAAGAUUAGCAUGGCACCUAUGCAAGGAUGACACGCAAAUUCAUGAAGCGUUCUAUUAAAAA
rnacentral:snRNA from 1 species